rnacentral:misc_RNA from 1 species
AAGUCGUAACAAGGUCUCCGUAGGUGAACCUGCGGAGGGAUCAUUACAGAGCUAUCCGCCAUUGAACCCCGGUUAACGGGGUAAGUACUUCCCUCCCAACCCCCUAAUGUUUAUCAUUACCAUGUUGCUUUGGCGGGCCGUCAGGCUCACGCUCGGCUACCGGCUCCGGCUGGUAAGCGCCCGCCAGAGGACCUCAAACCCUGAAUAUUCGUGUCGUCUGAGUAUCAUAUAAUAGUUAAAAG